GCUCUAACCACUAGGCUACCUGCUCUAACCACUAGGCUACCUGCUCUAACCACUAGGCUACCUGCUCUACCCACUAGGCUACCUGCUCUAACCACUAGGCUACCUGCUCUAACCACUAGGCUUCCUGCUCUAACAACUAGGCGACCUGCUCUAACCACUAGGCUACCUGCUCUAACCACUAGGCUACCUGCCACCCCUAGGUUAUCUGCUGCCCCAUUUGAAAAGUACAAAUGGCGAGUAUCAAUUUUCCAUGAUGAGUGAGGUACACAUGCUAAGUCAGAUAAUACAUUGACUUCGUUGAGAUCACUCAGUUUUAUAAAAAAAUAAAUGUAUAUCCCAUAAUGCCUAGAGAUGCAGUAACAUGGGAGAUAUAUCUGGGAUCAAGAGAGAAUAAAACGCAUACUAGGAAUAGCAAUCACAUAGUCGCUUACCAACAUCCCAAACCUAAAUAUUCAUGAAAAAAAUGGCAGCUCAGAGUUUGAUUCAUGAGGAAAAAGCUUGGUUGAACUAUUCGUGAGCUACACAUGCUGUGCUCUUGGUCUUGGGUUCUGCUCCUGGUGGGGGUCGAAAAACAAACUAAAUCUGGACGUGAAGUGAUGAGCUUAGAUGCAGCAGUAAAUGGAUUUCAAAUUUAAAUAAAAAAAUAAAUAAAAUAAAAAUGUAUUGAAAAUGUAUUUUGUACCCUUUAAAGGAGACAUUCCUAAUAGAUGUUUCAUAUGUAUGACCUUACAUUGUGACGUAUUGUUAUCUUAUAUUCUUGUUGAAUCAGAUCUUACUGACCUGUAUUUCUGCUUAGUGCUGACAUGUGAAUGGAAUGUGUGUGUGUGUGUGUGUGUGUGUGUAUGUGCUGGUAUUAUCACGUUCUACUGAAGUAAUCCAAUCAGAAGAGACUAUACAUUUAUUGUAGAUCCCCAGUAUCUCUCUGUGCCAAUCGCCCCCCCCCCGUUUACACUCCUCCCACUCCUCUAACUCUACCACACUUCAACCAAUCCUAUGACUUUAUACCUCCUCUUUAUACCGCCCCCCCGUUUACACUCCUCCCACUCCUCUAACCCUACCACACUUCAACCAAUCCUAUGACUUUAUACCUCCUCUUUAUACCGCCCCCCCGUUUACACUCCUCCCACUCCUCUAACCCUACCACACUUCAACCAAUCCUAUGACUUUAUACCUCCUCUUUAUACCGCCCCCCGUUUACACUCCUCCCACUCCUCUAACCCUACCACACUUCAACCAAUCCUAUGACUUUAUACCUCCUCUUUAUACCGCCCCCCCCCGUUUACACUCCUCCCACUCCUCUAACCCUACCACACUUCAACCAAUCCUAUGACUUUAUACCUCCUCUUUAUACCGCCCCCC
ensembl:lncRNA